UAAAAUAAGGUGAACUUGCACUUUUUUAUCCAAAAACAUGGCAGGAAAAGAUCUGGAGAAUGUCCGAAGCAACUGACCUAGACAUUCACGUUCUCACAUACAGCCUCUCAGGGACAUUUCAGGAAAAUGCUCUGGACUUUACAGCAGCUAGUGAGUGACAGGUCUUCAAACUGAGCUCCCUACACAUUGAUCAGAUGAUGUGAUGUGUCGGAGAAGAAGACAAAGCUGUGGGAUGAAGACACCGACCCGACCUCUUCCUCGUCUGAAACAUCUCAUCUGAUAUUAAAACAUGUUUUUCUAUGUUUCUGCUUGUGAUGGUGUUUAACUCUAAAAAGAAAGAUUUGACCAAAAUGAUGCACGGACGCCUUACUUUCCAUUAAAGCAACACAAUGAAACGUUGUCUGUCUUAAAUCA